AUGGUCCACAUCAACGCACAAACUCCCACCCGAAUAUGCCUUGCUAAUGCAGAAUCAAUCCCAUUAAGCCAAGUCCCAAAUAAAGCGGUAAUCGUGGUGGGUGGAGUAAUAUUAAAGGCAAUAUGCACCGUCUGCCAUAGAACCUUAGCUAGCGGGCAAUCAAAAAAGAGAUGUUUAAUUGUCUCAUCUCGAUCACAGAAACUACACCUAGUAGGUCCUGUCCAAUUUCGCUUUAUCAAAUUGUCCUUUGUGAGAAUGACUUGUUUAUGCACAAACCACAUAAACACUUUUAUUUUCAAAGGAAUUUUAACAUCCCAUACCUUUUUGGACGUUGGAAUAGAACUUGAGUUAAUAACAUCAAGAUACAUUGACCUCACUGUAAAUACCCCAUUCUUGGUCAACUUCUAG
rnacentral:rRNA from 1 species